rnacentral:rRNA from 1 species
CCUACGGGCGGCAGCAGUGGGGAAUAUUGGACAAUGGGCGAAAGCCUGAUCCAGCCAUGCCGCGUGUGUGAAGAAGGCCUUCGGGUUGUAAAGCACUUUCAGUGGGGAAGAAAGCCUUGGGCUAAUACCCUCGAGGAAGGACAUCACCCACAGAAGAAGCACCGGCUAACUCCGUGCCAGCAGCCGCGGUAAUACGGAGGGUGCGAGCGUUAAUCGGAAUUACUGGGCGUAAAGCGCGCGUAGGCGGUCUGAUAAGCCGGUUGUGAAAGCCCCGGGCUCAACCUGGGAACGGCAUCCGGAACUGUCAGGCUAGAGUGCAGGAGAGGAAGGUAGAAUUCCCGGUGUAGCGGUGAAAUGCGUAGAGAUCGGGAGGAAUACCAGUGGCGAAGGCGGCCUUCUGGACUGACACUGACGCUGAGGUGCGAAAGCGUGGGUAGCAAACAGGAUUAGAUACCCCUGUAGUC